AGUCCUGUCAACAAAGUUUUUUUUUUUUUUUUUUAUAAAAGUGUAAAACAGCAGCUAUGGUUCUUUCACAAUAGAAAACCUAUGAACCUUCUAAUGUUGUAAUCAGCACUAGGGAGGGAGUUGACUAGAGGUCAGAGCAACAAAGGACUAGUAGUCAGGACUUCCUGUGUGAUCUUGGGCAAGACACAAACUCUCUGAGGCUCAGUUUGCCCUUCUGUCAAACAGGCAUAAGAGCUCCCUCUCUCACAUAGGAUGACAAGGCUUAAGAUACAUAGAUGGAUACGGAAACACUAAAUGCUUUAAGAGUUGCAGUAGUAGAAUUUUAAAAUCCAGAAACAAGCAACACGGAUGAUAAAAUAUUACUAUACAAGUGCAAAACUUUAACAAGGUAAACUUGAUUACUAAAUCACACCCUAGAAAUAGCUAAAUGGAUUAGAAGUAAGUAAUUUUGACUGCAUCAGCACAUAACCAAGGUCAUACAGCUCUCCCAGCUCAUACCUGUUCCUUUACUCUACUGCUGUCACUCUGUUCUCAUCCCCCUUGAGAAACACUAGUUAUAACCAGUACAUAAAACAGACAACUUUAUCACUGCACUCUUCCGUUAUACAUUGAGCUCUAUAUGCAAAAUAUCCAUCCCGAUCUGCUCUUUGUUAUUUUCUAAUACAUUGGUAGCUUUGCAGCCUUUGCAAUUUUACUUGCAUAACAUAUGGUGUAUUAUUAUGUUUCUGAAUUUCUUUGUCUGUUAUUUAAGAAUUUAAGCUUCUGGAGGCAAGGACUGUCUUCACAAACCAUGGGCACCAUUAAACACUCAUCAUAACAACCAGGGUUUGCAGAGCUGUGGUUUCCUCAUAUCAAAAGUAAAGAAAGACAAUGGGUAGAGCAGAUACUCAGGACAGUGAAUGUCAAGUUUUUACUGAUGCUCAAUGCGUGUUUGCAUAGUACAGAGCACAACGGUAGAACUCAAGAAGCGUUUUUUUGGUUUUUUUAAUUCUAACUGUAUAUCCAGAGGGACUACCUCCACCCCCUUUUCUCCUGCAGUUCCAAAUAGAAUAUUUCACUUUAAACUUUUACCUUGGCCGAUUUAGCUUUGGGAAAGCUGUUACCUGGAUCAUUAGAAUGGUUUUGCUGAGCAGAGGCUGACGAAGAUGUACAAGACGGGGUCAUCCCACUACCAGAAUGUGUUGAAAUUUGGGAUACAUCUUGCUGGCUCUCCCAUCGACCCUAGAAGAAAAGUAAGUUUAUAUUUUCAAAAGUAUUGUGCAGAUUCUGCUAAUACUUAUACAGCAUGCCAGCAUAUACAAUGCUUUGCAGUACGUAGAAUGUGCAAAAUUAAGGUCAGAACCCAUGCCCCAAAAUGUUCUCAGUUGAUUUAAAUACUCAAUCCUACAAGAUGCUGGGCAUCAUCAGCUCCCAUUGACACUGGCAGACUCGUUUGUCCGCUUACAACCACUGAGGGCUAAUUGCAAGAAUCACCGAGUUAAAUUCUAUCAUUAUGCAUAGGUCUGACUAGAUGAUCAUACUGACACCUUCUAACCCAAAAAUCAAGGAAGACUUUGUGGCCUUCUAAAGUAGCAUUCAAGACUGAAGUUUGCAUGGAAGGGAGGGAGAGCAGGAGAUAAUGAGAACAGAUGAAUGUGGACAGCCUUGCUCUUUGGGCUGAAGGAAAGCUAGUGCAUAGGUUCAAGUAGUAUGAAAGGAGAUAAGAUCAGCAAGAAACGAAGUUGACUUUGCUUGUUGUGUUCUAUACACUUGGAAAGAAGAGAGACGGAAGAAAAAGAAAAUGGAUUAUGGCAGAUACCCAACAGUCAAGGAGAGAAGUAAUUUGAGAAUGGGCUAGUGUUUUACCAUUGCAGAUAGGGAUGAAAUGUGGAGAUAUUAAGUGGCGGGAUCUAGAGAGGGCCUGCACUAAAGGAAGGAAGAAGUCGAAGAGGAAAAACUACUUGCUGUACAGUAAGUGUUCUUAGAGAAGUUUUGUUCACUUGGAUCCCAUUUAGGUUUGCAUGCACCCUAUGUGCACUUUGGCCUGCAACAUCCAUUGAUAUGAUGUCUGUACACCCCACCCUCCACCCCAAGGCAUAAAAGGUGGAGCAGGCCCAACUGCUUCAGUUCCUUUGCCAAUACAGAACCCCAAAGCUAAAAGACUCUACAAUAGUGUGAAGGGAGGACAGGUUGUGGAAUCCACGUGAAUACAACAUCUCAAACACCCAUGGUUACCAUAAGUGACCAUUCUUUUUUCAAG